rfam:Salmonella enterica subsp. enterica serovar 4,[5],12:i:- str. CVM23701 gcontig_1104776742350, whole genome shotgun sequence.
UAUUAUUGGUGUCUGGCAUCUGACGCAGGGCGAUGACAUUUGUCACAACGGAGAGGCUGAGAUUCUGGCGGGACCGUUAGAACCUCCAAUUUAAUACAU